AGAAGAUGCCUCCUCCAUUCGCGUCUGGAUACUCUUUCCUCCACGGACGCCCAGCAUCUGCUAAUUUAACAGGUUACUGAGGACAAGGCUUUGGAAGAGAUCUGUCUAGGAAGCAAUUACACAGAUGGAACGGUGAACAUUGAGCACGGUGUCUCUCAGACUCGAUGGACUUCUUGAGGGGGCAUCUAACUGGCCUGGCGACAUGCAGGGUUGAUUAGUGGGAACAUCCAUUAGUUGCUGCCCACACUCAGUAUGCAGCAUGCAAAAGGGCAGAUGUGCUUUGAAGCUCCUGUUGGAGAACAGAUCUGAUCUGUUCAUCAACAGCAGCACCAACCAACUUGCUCAUGAAAGAAAUAAAAUCGAUGAGAACCCGUCAUGAUUAUUAUGAUGAUUCCCAUCAUUCUUGUAUUCAUCGUUUUCAUCACUCAUGUCUGAUAUUGUCUAGAUUCAGGCGCCUCUAUGUUAUAUUCUCAUUGCUUUAAGGCUAAAUUUACAGAUGAAGGAAGGAUGCGUUCCUGAAUCAGUUUGAAUCCCAAUUUUUAUGUUGGUCCAACAGCAUUCCAAUAUUCAAUCAUUGCCUUAAGAUUGUAGGGUAGGUUUAGGGCUGUGAAUAAUAGAAAUUAUUCUUUUAAGAAAAUUAGAUCUUAAAGGGAUACUCCACCCAAACAUGAAAAUUCUGUCAUCAUUUACUCACCCUCAAGUUGUUCUAAACCAGUAUAAAUUUCUUUGUUCUGAUGAACACAGAGAAAGAUAUUUGAAAGAAUGCUUGUAACCAAACAGUUCUUGGCACUAAUUCAUACGAAUUAGCCACCUCAUAAAAUAGUUACGAGUUCCUGUUAGAUUGUUUAUCUCAAUUUCAAGAAUUUUCUUUAGACACUGGCCCCUUACACAUCUCAGAUACCAAUAAUAAUUGAUUUAAUGUUGAAUCAAUGUUUAGAAUAACUCAUUUAACGUUGUUACACUCACCGUUAAAUCAGUUAUUUUUGCUGUCUGGAAUUGGACCAUUGCUUUCUGGUGUUUUAUUAACUGUGUAUUAAAUAAAAAAGAA